rnacentral:tRNA from 1 species
CAGCCUGUUGUCUAGUGGCUAAGAUACAUGACUGGGACCCCUGAGGUUGGUGGCUCAAGCCCAUCCAGCCACA